rfam:Streptococcus sp. DD13 genomic scaffold scaffold00001, whole genome shotgun sequence.
AUUUGUCGUCUUGCUCACUUGAAAUAUUGUCCAAGUAGGCGAAACAGCAGUUAAAUCA